rnacentral:lncRNA from 1 species
AGAGGAGAGAGGAAGGGAGGUCAGUGGCCCUGACCACGGCCGAGAGCCAAGUUCAGUGCACAUCCGAGACGGGCUUACUCAAGGUUGAGAAGGUCUUUGGAAAUCUUGGCCAGGGCAGUUUCGGAGGCGUGGUGGGGCCGGAGCAGAGUCAGGCUCGGACCUCCGAAGGCAGAUCUCUGAACCUCACGGUAGGGUUCUUUAGCAGCCAGAAGAUGAAGAAUGCGUGACUCUGACCCUCCCAACACCCCAGGGUGGGAUCGCUCUUCGCCCCAUUUUCCAGGAUGUUCAUUUACCCUCCCCAAAGCCAUGGACUGGGAUGAAAACUGCUCCCAACUCCUUCCAGCCCUGACACGGGACGAUGACGCUGAAGUUUAUCUAGGAAGAGGCACAAAUCGGACAGCCGACCCUAAUAAAUCAUGGAGUAGGAACAGGGCCGCACCGGAUCCUUAACCCACUGAAUGAGGCCAGGGAUCAAACCCACAUCCUCAUGGAUCCUAGUCAGGUUUGUUAACUGCUGAGCCACGAAGGGAACUCCCAGUUUUACUUUUUUUUUUUGAAACACAGCCAUGCAUGCGGACGCAAUUCUGCACUAUCUAUGGCUGCAUUGCACUGCAGAGACAAAAGUUGGAAAGACCAUAUGGACACAAAGCUGAACGUAUUUUCUAGUGCGUUACGGAAUAAGUUUUGGAAUUCUUCUGUGUAGCAUUCCAUUGUGUGAAUGUACUAAAACCUAAUUCUUCAUUUUAAUGUUAAGGCGCAUUUGUGGAGUCGCCAAGUUGGGGCUGUUAGUAAUCUGCUAUGAACAUCUCACGUAUGUCUUUUAGUGAAAAACGCGUGUGCAUUUCCAUUGAGUCUAUUCCUGGGAGAGAAUUUGUUAAAUCACAGGGUAGACGUUAAGUUUAACCUUCUCAAAACCAUCCACCAGUCCUCCAAAGCGGUUGUGCCAUUACUUCUCCCACAAGCAGUGUCUGAGGGUUUUGGUUGCUCUGUAUCCUCCUGCACUUGUAUUUUCUGU